rnacentral:rRNA from 1 species
CCUACGGGUGGCUGCAGUGAGGAAUAUUGGUCAAUGGGGGAAACCCUGAACCAGCAACGCCGCGUGAGGGAAGAAGGUCCUCGGAUUGUAAAACCCCUUUUGUCGGGAAGAAAAUGCUGGUACGAGACCACGAAGGUGUGUCCCACUACGGACCAGCACCCGUCGUAACACGGCGGGAGCGAGGGUUCUCCGGAGUUUCUGGGUGUAAAGGGUGCGUAGGGGGGUAAGCAAGUCAGAAGUGAAAGCCAUGGGUUUAACCCAAGAACUGCUGUUGAAACUGGCUGGCUUGAGUGAAGGAGAGGUAGGCGGAAUGCGCGGUGUAGCGGUGAAAUGCGUAGAGAUCGGGAAGAACACCAGUGGCGAAGGCGGCCUACUGGUCUCUAACUGACGCUGAGGCACGAAAGCGUGGGUAGCAAACAGGAUUAGAUACCCCGGUAGUC